rnacentral:rRNA from 1 species
UGACGGUACCUGACUAAGAAGCACCGGCUAAAUACGUGCCAGCAGCCGCGGUAAUACGUAUGGUGCAAGCGUUAUCCGGAUUUACUGGGUGUAAAGGGAGCGCAGGCGGCCUGGCAAGCCAGAGGUGAAAACCCGGGGCUCAACCCCGUGAUUGCCUUUGGAACUGUUAGGCUUGAGUACUGGAGGGGCAGGCGGAAUUCCUGGUGUAGCGGUGAAAUGCGUAGAUAUCAGGAGGAACACCGGUGGCGAAGGCGGCCUGCUGGACAGAAACUGACGCUGAGGCUCGAAAGCGUGGGGAGCAAACAGGAUUAGAUACCCUG